GUUAGAUGUAGUAGUUUCCGGUCUGAAACAAGAGGAACUUUGUUAAUACAUAGACAAAUAAGGAAAGUAGUGAUAAAACUUCUUUUAACAUUAGAACUGCCAAAGGGGUUAGGGUUAGGUUUAGGGUUAGAAUUACAGAGUUGUAAUCAAAGGUUGCUUCACUCUGAUCAACUCCAGGCGUCAGAAAUACUUCACUCUCGCUGGUGGAACAAUUGGAAGCUGUUUCUAGCUUUUCUUCAAAGUUUGUAGAACUCUGAACGACCUCUGAACUCGCGUCAGUCGAAGAAACAUCGAUGCUGGGGUUUGUGCCAGCGUUCAACAGGCGCUCUACAUUGUCGGAGCCACUACUGAGGGUGUUACUCGGUGGAAAAGACGGUGCUAGCUUGCGUUUUGGCACCACGGGUCGCGGGGCUGCUUUUCUAGGCUUUGGAAGUGGAACAGGUUCUCCAACUGUACUCGAUGGGAAAGAAAAAAAGAAGAUACCAUCACCGAAGGGUAUAGAUAGCUAAGCGGAUGAAAACAUAGGGAUAAGAAUUUCUAGAAGCAUGCAACAAUUGUUACUAUAACUGUACAAGGGCAAGUGUAUGUUUCUUGAUGAAAUGUACUGUACAAGAAUUUCUAUACUUAUGGUGGUCAAAUAUUGCAUGGAAAUAUGUACAUGGAAAUCUUGAAAAGACAAAGCAAUAAAACAUAACCUAUAACGUUUCUGAGGUAGAGAAUGGAAUGGAUAUUUCAAUCUAAAGUUUAAACAAAUUCCCCGACUCUACUUUCCAAUAUGGAGUUUAACUGAAUUAAAAAUCUGUUCCAACUUUCAGUGGACUCUUUUCGACUAACCAAACCAGGUGGUGGAGGUUCCAGUAUGCUCAACUUUUUCUCUGAUUCCAAUUUACACUCGCUGUGCUGGAUAAUGGGUAAAGAUGGUAAUUUAUCAACGUUGCUAGGCACUGGUGGCUCUAUGCUCGUUACUGGAAUAUCUAAAGGCUUCCUGGAUAUUGCAAAUAUCUGCAAGCUACUCAAGGGCGGUGGGGAAGGGUUAGAUCUACGGAUAGCUGUUGCCCUGCCAAAAGUUUCUUCGUUAAGACUCGAGGAAAUUAAACCGUCGUAACACCUAGUCGUGCUUACGUUCCCUAGCUUUGCUUGUCCAUCAUUGAUCAACUCUGAGCUAUCAUCAGAAAAGCUAUUUCUAACAGAGAAGCUUUGGGAGCUCGACAACCUUGGCUUUUCAAAAUUACUCACUAUCUUGGUCUCCCUUAAUUUGUACCCCACUUGAAAGCUUGAACUAUACUUCAGUGUUUUAGCCUGACACCUCUGGUCACAAAUAUAAUUAUCCAGCUGCAAUUUAAUAGGACUAAACCUGUUCUCCGGUGCACCACAUUCUGGCACAUUUUCAAUAUCUGUCUCUAUAUCAUCCAAAUGGGCAACAGUCUGCAUUUUAACCAACCUACUCUGUGAUUUAAACGACUUCUGACGAGUGAACUGCUUACUUCCCUGAAAACUAGCUGUUUUUGACCACUCCGUAACCUUAGGGACAACAAUGUUUGAACAAGCAAAGCUCUGAGACUUCUGCAGCUUAGAAUUUGUUUUAGCAGAAUUCUUAUCACCGUCUAAGGACCUAGCUUUGAACAUGACUGAUGCACUUUUGACAAAAGUAUCCGUAAGAUCAUCUGAGAGAUCACUCAACCUACGCUCUGCUUUGCACUCCUCAAUUCUUGAAUGCAGUUUAAUUUUCUCAGUGUCGAACAGACUUCUAUGCUUCUUAGCAACGUCCAUUCCAUUCUCUGCGUUCUCAAAACUGUUCUUGGACACGAAACUAUAA